UAAGGAAUAUUCCCCAAUGGGCGAAAUCCUGCCAUCAGGCGACAACCGCUGUAGGGGAUGAAGGUCUUCGGAUUGUAAACCCCUUUCGGGAGGGAAGAUGGAAUGGGUUAACGCAUUCGAACGGUACCUCCAGAACCUGCCACGGCUAACUGCGUG
rnacentral:rRNA from 1 species